rnacentral:rRNA from 1 species
UGGGGGAUAUUGCACAAUGGGCGAAAGCCUGAUGCAGCGACGCCGCGUGGGGGAUGAAGGCUUUCGGGUUGUAAACCUCUUUCGCUAUCGAACAAGGCCCGCUUAGGGUGGGUUGAGGGUAGGUGGAGAAGAAGCGCCGGCUAACUACGUGCCAGCAGCCGCGGUAAUACGUAGGGCGCGAGCGUUGUCCGGAAUUAUUGGGCGUAAAGGGCUUGUAGGCGGCUUGUUGCGCCUGCUGUGAAAACGCGGGGCUUAACUUCGCGCGUGCAGUGGGUACGGGCAGGCUUGAGUGUGGUAGGGGUGACUGGAAUUCCAGGUGUAGCUGUGGAAUGCGCAGAUAUCUGGAGGAACACCGAUGGCGAAGGCAGGUCACUGGGCCAUUACUGACGCUGAGGAGCGAAAGCAUGGGUAGCGAACAGG